rnacentral:rRNA from 1 species
AUUGAACGCUGGCGGCAGGCCUAACACAUGCAAGUCGAGCGGGGUUUUCGGACCUAGCGGCGGACGGGUGAGUAAUGCGUAGGAAGCUACCCGAUAGAGGGGGAUACCAGUUGGAAACGACUGUUAAUACCGCAUAAUGUCUACGGACCAAAGUGUGGGACCUUCGGGCCACAUGCUAUCGGAUGUGCCUACGUGGGAUUAGCUAGUUGGUGAGGUAAUGGCUCACCAAGGCGACGAUCCCUAGCUGGUUUGAGAGGAUGAUCAGCCACACUGGAACUGAGACACGGUCCAGACUCCUACGGGAGGCAGCAGUGGGGAAUAUUGGACAAUGGGCGCAAGCCUGAUCCAGCCAUGCCGCGUGUGUGAAGAAGGCCUUCGGGUUGUAAAGCACUUUCAGUAAGGAGGACGCGUUGAGUGUUAAUAGUACUCAGCGUUGACGUUACUUACAGAAGAAGCACCGGCUAACUCCGUGCCAGCAGCCGCCGUAAUAC